rnacentral:rRNA from 1 species
CCUACGGGAGGCAGCAGUAGGGAAUAUUGCGCAAUGGGGGAAACCCUGACGCAGCGACGCCGCGUGAGUGAUGAAGGCCUUAGGGUCGUAAAGCUCUGUUGAAUGGGAAGAAACAAAUGACGGUACCAUUCGAGGAAGGACCGGCUAACUUCGUGCCAGCAGCCGCGGUAAGACGAGGGGUCCUAGCGUUGUUCGGAAUUAUUGGGCGUAAAGCGUGUGUAGGCGGCCUAGCAAGUCAGUUGUGAAAGCCCCGGGCUCAACCCGGGAAGUGCUUCUGAUACUGCUUGGCUUGAGUACUGGAGAGGAUAGUAGAAUUCCAGGUGUAGUGGUGAAAUACGUAGAUAUCUGGAGGAAUACCGGUGGCGAAGGCGGCUAUCUGGCCAUGUACUGACGCUGAGACACGAAAGCGUGGGGAGCAAACAGGAUUAGAUACCCUAGUA